AGAGGGAAGCCUGGAGCCACAGGUCGAGGACCUGAUUAACCGGAUUAAUGAGCUUCAGCAAGCAAAGAAGAAAUCCGGCGAGGAACUGGGAGAAGCCCAAGCUCUCUGGGAGGCCCUGCGUAGGGACCUGGACUCCUGUAAGUGGGACCAGAAGAGGGACCCAGCGAUCUCAUGACCAGUGCUGACGUUCCCGUGUGCACCUCAGGGUCUGCGCAAGGGCUGUUCCCUCCACCUGAGAGGCGCUCAUCCUACAUAAUCCGCAUUGCCUCAUGCUGUCUCGAGUCGCCUUUCAGCUCUCAGCUGAAACUUCACCCCAACAGGUCUACCUUGAUGGCCCCCUCUAAAAAUAGAAUACCACCUUCUCUCACUCCCCGGCCUGAUUUAUUUCUUCACAGCCUUUAUUUCUACUUGACAUGGUGUACUUUUGUAUUUCUCAUCAUCUCUACCCUCAGUAUAAACCACAGGCAUCCUACACAAGGGAACCCUGCAGUCCUUCACCCCUUCGGCACUUACAGGGAAUGUGCGCCCCGAGCGGGAAAAGCUGCAUCAGGAUGGUCCCCAGCGGGAGAUGGGUGCACGGCUGUGAAUGGAGAGAAAGUGCACCUGGAGGAGGUUUUGAGCAAAAAGCAAGAGGCACUGAGGACCCUCCAGCUGCACUGCCAAAGGAAGGGAAGUGAGGCUCAGAGGAAGUACAUGUUGGCGGAGCACAUGGAGCACAUUUCUAUCCGUAACUCUCAGAUCACAGAGAGUCAAGGACAGAGGAAGCCGGGAUGCUGAAGCAGCGACUGGCCUGGGAGAUCCGUGCCCUGCAGAGCAGCAAGGAGCAGCUGCUCACCGAAGAGAGGCAGGCGCGGGCCAAGCUGGAGACGGUGGAGCGGCGGCUGCGCUCGCCGCCCGAGGUCCAGAGCGCCCCGGCAGAGAAAGACGGGUAAGAGGGGAGAGGAGGAGGGGAGGGGCCGAGGUCCGCCCCGCCAACACCUCCCCUUCUGCCCCUCCCAGAAGGGCGGGGCCUCCGCGGGCU